GAACUUCAGCAGCAAAUAUCUUAAAGUUGGAACAAUACAGAGAAGAUUAACAUUCUCUCUGAGCUAGGAUGAUAGUGCAAAUCUGAAAUGUUUGAUUUUUAA
ensembl:snRNA U6 U6 spliceosomal RNA